CCUACGGGGUGCAGCAGUGAGGAAUAUUGGUCAAUGGACGAGAGUCUGAACCAGCCAAGUAGCGUGAAGGAUGAAUGCCCUAUGGGUUGUAAACUUCUUUUAUAAAGGAAUAAAACGAGGCACGUGUGCCUUUUUCCCUGUACUUUAUGAAUAAGGAUCGGCUAACUCCGUGCCAGCAGCCGCGGUAAUACGGAGGAUCCGAGCGUUAUCCGGAUUUAUUGGGUUUAAAGGGAGCGUAGAUGGGUUGUUAAGUCAGUUGUGAAAGGUUGCGGCUCAACCGUAAAAUUGCAAUUGAUACUGGCAGUCUUGAGUGCAGUUGAGGUAGGCGGAAUUCGUGGUGUAGCGGUGAAAUGCUUAGAUAUCACGAAGAACCCCGAUUGCGAAGGCAGCUUACUAGACUGUGACUGACAUUGAUGCUCGAAAGUGUGGGUAUCAAACAGGAUUAGAUACCCCUGUAGUC
rnacentral:rRNA from 1 species